rnacentral:rRNA from 1 species
UACGUAGGGGGCAAGCGUUGUCCGGAUUUAUUGGGCGUAAAGAGCGUGUAGGCGGCCUGAAAGGUCAGCUGUGAAAACUCGAGGCUCAACCUCGAGACGUCGGUUGAAACCAUCUGGCUAGAGUCCGGAAGAGGAGAGUUGAAUUCCCGGUGUAGCGGUGAAAUGCGCAGAUAUCGGGAAGAACACCCGUGGCGAAGGCGGCUCUCUGGGACGGUACUGACGCUGAGACGCGAAAGCGUGGGGAGCGAACAGG